GAGAUCGUGGAGAGAAUAAGCAGAUGCAGGAAUGUGUUGAAUGCCACAUGACAGCCUCCAGUUAGAUCCUUCCAUAAGUAAGACUCAAAUGAAAGCCAGGUGUCAAAGCUAUGGAGCCCAUGUGGAUCAUAGGAGUCAACUACUAGGACACAGUUCAGAACAGAAAACGGGUCAGAGGACCACUCUUCCUCAGGAAGCUCAAGACAUUCUCAAGAGUGG
rnacentral:lncRNA from 1 species